AUGCAGCCUGUUGUACAAAAGCAGCGAGCGAAACUUCCCCGCUCCACAACCUGGACGAAUGAGGACCGAUUUCCCAGCUCAAGUCUGACUCUGCAGGGCCCUCUGCCCAGUGGAGUGGGAGGCCCUGCAGGGGCCCUGGGCCUCAUCCAGGUCACCCCCAGCACUGGGCGUCGACACUCCCCAGGGAACUGCCUCCUCCGUCUCCUCUUGCUUCUUCCUCUCAUUGCUCAAGUUCAAGAGCAUGUCCAAAGGCUUCUGGAGCCAAGGUUCUCCCGAAUUUCAGCUCUCUCCAGGUGGGGCCAUCUCCCACCCUUGGCCAUGGAACAGUGUCCUGACUUCUGACGCCUCCUCCUCCCAGUCUACACUGUCUGUGGCCUCCCACUGUCUCCUGCCAUCCCUGGGCCACCAGGAAGACUUCCAAAAUCAUAAACCCAAUCGUGUUUAGGGGUUUCCGGCAAUUUCUCUCCUCGCUCCAGAUACACAGUCUGAACCCCUGCACCUGACCUCACAGGCUCUGCACGGCCUGUUGCUUGCCC
rnacentral:lncRNA from 1 species